rnacentral:rRNA from 1 species
CCUACGGGAGGCUGCAGUGAGGAAUAUUGGUCAAUGGACGAGAGUCUGAACCAGCCAAGUAGCGUGAAGGAUGACUGCCCUAUGGGUUGUAAACUUCUUUUAUAUGGGAAUAAAAUGUUCCACGUGUGGGAUUUUGUAUGUACCAUAUGAAUAAGGAUCGGCUAACUCCGUGCCAGCAGCCGCGGUAAUCCGGAGGAUCCGAGCGUUAUCCGGAUUUAUUGGGUUUAAAGGGAGCGUAGGUGGAUUGUUAAGUCAGUUGUGAAAGUUUGCGGCUCAACCGUAAAAUUGCAGUUGAAACUGGCAGUCGUGAGUACAGUAGAGGUGGGCGGAAUUCGUGGUGUAGCGGUGAAAUGCUUAGAUAUCACGAAGAACUCCGAUUGCGAAGGCAGCUCACUGGACUGCAACUGACACUGAGGCUCGAAAGUGUGGGUAUCAAACAGGAUUAGAUACCCCAGUAGUC